rnacentral:rRNA from 1 species
UACGUAGGUGGCGAGCGUUGUCCGGAAUUACUGGGUGUAAAGGGCGUGUAGGCGGGACUGCAAGUCAGAUGUGAAAUUCUUGGGCUUAACCCAAGCACUGCAUCUGAAACUGUAGUUCUUGAGUGCUGGAGAGGAUAGUGGAAUUCCUAGUGUAGCGGUGAAAUGCGUAGAUAUUAGGAGGAACACCAGUGGCGAAGGCGGCUAUCUGGACAGUAACUGACGCUGAGGCGCGAAAGCGUGGGGAGCAAACAGG